rnacentral:rRNA from 1 species
UUAAAUUGAAGAGUUUGAUCAUGGCUCAGAUUGAACGCUGGCGGCAGGCCUAACACAUGCAAGUCGAGCGGUAGCACAGAGAGCUUGCUCUCGGGUGACGAGCGGCGGACGGGUGAGUAAUGUCUGGGAAACUGCCUGAUGGAGGGGGAUAACUACUGGAAACGGUAGCUAAUACCGCAUAACGUCGCAAGACCAAAGUGGGGGACCUUCGGGCCUCAUGCCAUCAGAUGUGCCCAGAUGGGAUUAGCUAGUAGGUGGGGUAACGGCUCACCUAGGCGACGAUCCCUAGCUGGUCUGAGAGGAUGACCAGCCACACUGGAACUGAGACACGGUCCAGAC